UACGAAGGGGGCUAGCGUUGCUCGGAAUCACUGGGCGUAAAGCGCACGUAGGCGGAUCUUUAAGUCAGGGGUGAAAUCCCAAGGCUCAACCUUGGAACUGCCUUUGAUACUGGGGAUCUCGAGUCCGGAAGAGGUUGGUGGAACUCCGAGUGUAGAGGUGAAAUUCGUAGAUAUUCGGAAGAACACCAGUGGCGAAGGCGGCCAACUGGUCCGGCACUGACGCUGAGGUGCGAAAGCGUGGGGAGCAAAACAGG
rnacentral:rRNA from 1 species